ACCUCCCCCCCGUGUUUAUUUUACCUUGUUGCUUCGGCGGGCCCGCCUUAACUGGCCGCCGGGGGGCUUACGCCCCCGGGCCCGCGCCCGCCGAAGACACCCUCGAACUCUGUCUGAAGAUUGUAGUCUGAGUGAAAAUAUAAAUUAUUUAAAACUUUCAACAACGGAUCUCUUGGUUCCGGCAUCGAUGAAGAACGCAGCGAAAUGCGAUACGUAAUGUGAAUUGCAAAUUCAGUGAAUCAUCGAGUCUUUGAACGCACAUUGCGCCCCCUGGUAUUCCGGGGGGCAUGCCUGUCCGAGCGUCAUUGCUGCCCUCAAGCACGGCUUGUGUGUUGGGCCCCGUCCUCCGAUCCCGGGGGACGGGCCCGAAAGGCAGCGGCGGCACCGCGUCCGGUCCUCGAGCGUAUGGGGCUUUGUCACCCGCUCUGUAGGCCCGGCCGGCGCUUGCCGAUCAACCCAAAUUUUUAUCCAGGUUGACCUCGGAUCAGGUAGGGAUACCCGCUGAACUUAAGCAUAUCAAUAAGCGGAGGAA
rnacentral:rRNA from 1 species